AGUCGUGUGGUGAGCACAAAGCGAACUAUUCUUUCGCCUUUUACUAAAGAAUACCGUGCGCUCGCCACUCAAAGCGACAUACGCCUAUUUUUGGAGGGGACUUUUUAGGAAGUCU